UGAGUACGAGACGCUACGGCGUCGAAGCAGUCUAUGUCAUACUUCCAAGAAAAGCUUGCACUGUCAUAAACAAAUAAUGCCUGUACCAUAACCGACACAGGUGGGUAGGUAGAGUAUACUAAGGGGCGCGAGAUAACUCUCUCUAAGGAACUCGGCAAAAUGACUCCGUAACUUCGGGAGAAGGAGUGCCUUAUUCUUAAGGUUGCAAUAACAAGAUCCAAGCAACUGUUUAUCAAAAACACAGGUCUCCGCUAAGUCGUAAGACGAUGUAUGGGGGCUGACGCCUGCCCAGAGCCAGAAGGUUAAAGAAGUUGGUUAGCAUUCGCGAAGCUGAUAACUGAAGCCCUGGUGAACGCCGGCCGUAACUAUAACGGUCCUAAGGUAGCGAAAUUCCUUGUCGGGUAAGUUCCGACCCGCACGAAAGGCGUAAUGAUUUGGAUACUGUCUCGGAGAGGGGCUCGGUGAAAUAGACUUGUCUGUGAAGAUGCGGACUACCUGCACCUGGACAGAAAGACCCUAUGAAGCUUUACUGUAACUUGAAAUUGAAAUUGGACUUUAUUUGCGCAGUAUAGGUGGGAGGCGUUGAGAAUAUUCUUGCGGGAAUAUUGGAGCCAUCAGUGAGAUACCACUCUUGUAAUGUUAGAUUUCUAACUUUGAAUCAUUAUCUGGUCAAAGGACAGUUUCAGGCGGGCAGUUUGACUGGGGCGGUCGCCUCCUAAAUGGUAACGGAGGCGCACAAAGGUUUCCUCUGAACGGGUAGAAAUCGUAUCUAGAGUGUAAAGGCAUAAGGAAGCUUGACUGUGAGACCUACAAGUCGAGCAGGGACGAAAGUCGGUCUUAGUGAUCUGACGGUGCUGAGUGGAAAGGCCGUCACUCAACGGAUAAAAGUUACUCUAGGAUAACAGGCUGAUCUCCCCCAAGAGUUCACAUCGACGGGGAGGUUUGGCACCUUGAUGUCGGCUCAUCGCAUCCUGGGGCGGUAGUACGUCCCAAGGGUUGGGCUGUUCGCCCAUGAAAGCGGUACGCGAGCUGGGUUCAGAACGUCGUGAGACAGUUCGGUCCAUAUCCGGUGUAGGCGUUAGAAUAUUGAGAGGAGCCUUCUUUAGUACGAGAGGACCGAGAAGGACAUACCUCUGGUGUACCAGUUAUCGUGCCAACGGUAGACGCUGGGUAGCUAUGUAUGGAGAGGAUAACCGCUGAAAGCAUCUAAGUGGGAAGCCCACCUCAAGAUAAG
rnacentral:rRNA from 1 species